CCUACGGGAGGCAGCAGUGGGGGAUAUUGCACAAUGGGGGGAACCCUGAUGCAGCGACGCCGCGUGGGUGAAGGAGCGUUUCGGCGCGUAAAGCCCUAUCGGCAGGGAAGAAGAAGGACGGUACCUGACUAAGAAGCCCCGGCUAACUACGUGCCAGCAGCCGCGGUAAUACGGAGGGGGCAAGCGUUAUCCGGAUUUACUGGGUGUAAGGGGGGCGCAGACGGCAGCGCAAGCCAGGAGUGAAAGCCCGGGGCCCAACCCCGGGACUGCGCUUGGAACUGCGCGGCUGGAGUGCAGGAGGGGCAGGCGGAAUUCCUGGUGUAGCGGUGAAAUGCGUAGAUAUCAGGAGGAACACCGGUGGCGAAGGCGGCCUGCUGGACUGCGACUGACGUUGAGGCCCGAAAGCGUGGGGAGCAAACAGGAUUAGAUACCCCAGUAGUC
rnacentral:rRNA from 1 species